GUUCCAGCACCUGGAUGUCAGAGCUGCUUUCUCUUCCUCUGCACUCCUUAAAUGACAGUUGUGUCACUGAAUGCAGAGUUAAACGUCUUAGGUUUGAGUCCUAACUGAUACUUAGUAGCUGGUAACCUUGGACUUGCCACUUAAUCUUACUUCCCAGCUUCUUCAAAUCAGCAUUUAUGAAGCACUUGUUAUGAGUUUCAAACAAUGGAGCAUGGAUAUUGGAAAGAAGAUAAACAAACAUGAGUAAGCUGUACCUAAAUGAAGUCAGACUAAUGAGAAAAGAUGUGGAGUAAAUAUGUAAAUGAUACGCCCAAACUAAGUGAAGACCAAACAAUGUCAUAUCAUGCUGUUCAAGAGAAGUUUCCAUCGUAUUCCAAUAAGAGAGAUGGAAUUUCACCGUGUUGUCCAGGAUGGUCUUGAACUCUUGUGCUCAAGCAAUCCGCCUGACUUAGCCUCCCAAAGUGCUGAAAUUAUAGGCGUGAACCACUGCACCCAGCC